UACGUAGGGGGCAAGCGUUGUCCGGAAUCAUUGGGCGUAAAGAGCGUGUAGGCGGUCCGGUAAGUCGGCUGUGAAAGUCCAGGGCUCAACCCUGGGAUGCCGGUCGAUACUGCCGGACUAGAGUUCGGAAGAGGCGAGUGGAAUUCCCCGGUGUAGCGGUGAAAUGCGCAGAUAUCGGGAGGAACACCUAUGGCGAAGGCAGCUCGCUGGGACGUUACUGACGCUGAGACGCGAAGGUCAGGGGAGCAAACGGG
rnacentral:rRNA from 1 species